GGAGAGUUCCGAGGAGAAACAGUUUAUUCUCUUAAGUUAAGGCAGUGCAGAAAGAGUGAAUUGAAUAAGAUUUUGAUUAUGAGAUGAGAUAUGAAUUAAAGAUGCCUAUAUGUGGCUUAGUGAAGAUGAAUUGAGCUUAUACAUGAAAAAUGUAAUAAAAUGGCAUAACUUGUUUAUGUGAGUUAAUUUUUGAAUAAUUGGUUUAAGAAUGAUUUAUAAAAUAGAUUUUUGGGAAAUUUCCCCGACUAAAAAUAUUUUAUUUUUCAAAAAUGAGUUUGUUUAUGUGAUUGCUAUGUGCUUAUGGAUUGUUUAUCUAUGAGUUGUUCCUUGACAGAGUUUAGACCUACAUUAGGAGAUAAGUCAAGAAUAAAGUAGUGAUUACUUAGAAAGUGUUUACGAUAUGAGAUCGAGUGAGACGGAGUGUAGAAAUGAGAAGUAAUGUAAUAUUACUAAGAUAGAAUGAUAUUCUUAGUAAGAAAGUUUCUGACCGAUUCCUUUUGUUUUACCCCAUGAACUAUAUUCGAUGUUAUGAUAUCUGAAGAUGCGAGUAGAGGACGGAAGUGAGUCCACCCCGAACGCUACGAGAGUAAGCUAGGACAUCAGGUGGGCAUUAUUUUUACUAUACGUAUAUAGAGAUCCCCUGCGUAUCGUAGGCCUCUUAUAUGAAAUGAAAUAAAUGAUGUGAUUUAACUGUCAAUUUCAGUUUGAUGAAAAUUAUUACUGUUGAUGAUGUUUAUGAGUCUGAUAAAUAUUUUGAGAUUUAUUGAUGUUGAACUAAUUGACUUGCCAAGUUUUGAUGACGACGAGCCUGUAUGUCACCCUCUACUGAUGAGACGAAUUCGGGUCCUGCCACAAGCGGGAUUGUGUACACAGAGGUGACUGCGAGCUGUCCUUCGGGUCGGCCGGUCACGGUACUUGAGAAGGAGGCCUACUUCUCAGUACCUUAAAUGAUGAUGAUUUGUAGAUGUGGUACAUACGUAACGAGAAUUUUGACCGAUCAUUUAUUUAUGAUGUUUAUGAUUGUUAACUGCUUACACGGGUUCUUUUGAGUAAAAUCCCCGUGUAUUGCUUAUGUGGCAAGUUCAAUCUAUAGCUCUAAGAGCUAGUUUUCAUUGAUUUUCGGCAUAUGUCCACUGAGUAUUUUGUACUCAGCCCUGCAUGUAUUUCUAAACGUGCAGGAUAAGCGAGGAGGGAGAUUGGACUGGUGCUGGUAGGGAUUUUGUUUCGGAUGAUCGUCAUUGUACCAUAAUUAUAUUCCUUGCAGUAACAUCAAGAUGUUGAGGUUUAUUUUGAACUUAAUCAAGAAAUUUACUCCCGGCUAUAUGUCUUCAUACAUAUAGUCUGUUCGAAUUUUGCUGCGAUACUCUGUAUAUCCCAAGUCAUUGUGAGUAAUUAGCUAUGUCUACUUUGUAAAGGUUGAC
rnacentral:lncRNA from 1 species